GAGAUUAAUAACACGGGAACCCAACAUCUGGUGAAGAUCCAUCAUUUAUCAGACUCAACUCAGUGUCUUCAUUGAGUGGUUUUACAUGCACACUAGUCCCCCAGUUAUGAUAUGAGUGUACCAAACAUGUCAGUGCAGGAAAUCAGUCCUGAGAUAUGAAUACUUUUACAUCAAAGACGUGUCUGAAGUUCUGAACUGUCGCCGAGGCUCAGACACUUGGAUAAUAUUAUUAGUACCAUGUAUACAUGGAGCUGAAUAACCAGGCUACACUAUGUGCCAAACCAGGAUAGUAGUGUGCAUUUAAACAUACUUUGUGUAUAAUUAUAAUU